CGAUGCAACGCGAAAACCUUACCUACCUUGACAUGUCCGGAAUCCCGAAGAGAUUUGGGAGUGCUCGCAAGAGACCGGAACACAGGUGCUGCAUGGCUGUCGUCAGCUCGUGUCGUGAGAUGUUGGGUUAAGUCCCGCAACGAGCGCAACCCUUGUCAUUAGUUGCCAUCAUUUGGUUGGGCACUCUAAUGAGACUGCCGGUGACAAACCGGAGGAAGGUGGGGAUGACGUCAAGUCCUCAUGGCCCUUAUGGGUAGGGCUUCACACGUCAUACAAUGGUCGGUACAGAGGGUUGCCAACCCGCGAGGGGGAGCUAAUCCCACAAAGCCGAUCGUAGUCCGGAUCGCAGUCUGCAACUCGACUGCGUGAAGUCGGAAUCGCUAGUAAUCGUGGAUCAGCAUGUCACGGUGAAUACGUUCCCGGGUCUU
rnacentral:rRNA from 1 species